rnacentral:rRNA from 1 species
UACAGAGGGUGCAAGCGUUGUUCGGAAUUAUUGGGCGGAAAGCGCGUUUAGGCGGCUUUGCAAGUCGGGUGUGAAAGCCCUCAGCUCAACUGAGGAAGUGCGCCCGAAACUGCCGAGCUUGAGUGCCGGAGAGGGUGGCGGAAUUCCCCAAGUAGAGGUGAAAUUCGUAGAUAUGGGGAGGAACCCCGGUGGCGAAGGCGGCCACCUGGACGGUAACUGACGCUGAGACGCGAAAGCGUGGGGAGCAAACAGG